AUUGAACGCUGGCGGCAGGCCUAACACAUGCAAGUCGAACGCGUGGCGGACGGGUGAGUAAUGUCUGGGAAACUGCCUGAUGUCGGGGGAUAACUACUGUAAACAGUAGCUAAUACCGCAUACCAUCCGAUGUUCCCAGAUGGGAUUAGCUGGUUGGUGGGGUAACGGCUCACCAAGGCGCCGAUCCCUAGCUGGUCUGAGAGGAUGACCAGCCACACUGGAACUGAGACACGGUCCAGACUCCUACGGGAGGCAGCAGUGGGGAAUAUUGCACAAUGGGCGAAAGCCGGAUGCAGCCAUGCCGCGUGUAUGAAGAAGGCCUUCGGGUUGUAAAGUACUUUCAGCGGGGAGGCGUUACCCGCAGAAGAAGCACCGGCUAACUCCGUGCCAGCAGCCGCGGUAAUAC
rnacentral:rRNA from 1 species